rnacentral:rRNA from 1 species
GACGAACGCUGGCGGCGUGCCUAAUACAUGCAAGUUGAGCGCUGAAGGUUGGUACUUGUACCAACUGGAUGAGCAGCGAACGGGUGAGUAACGCGUGGGGAAUCUGUCUUUGAGCGGGGGACAACAUUUGGAAACGAAUGCUAAUACCGCAUAAAAACUUUAAACACAAGUUUUAAGUUUGAAAGAUGCAAUUGCAUCACUCAAAGAUGAUCCCGCGUUGUAUUAGCUAGUUGGUGAGGUAAAGGCUCACCAAGGCGAUGAUACAUAGCCGACCUGAGAGGGUGAUCGGCCACAUUGGGACUGAGACACGGCCCAAACUCCUACGGGAGGCAGCAGUAGGGAAUCUUCGGCAAUGGACGAAAGUCUGACCGAGCAACGCCGCGUGAGUGAAGAAGGUUUUCGGAUCGUAAAACUCUGUUGGUAGAGAAGAACGUUGGUGAGAGUGGAAAGCUCAUCAAGUGACGGUAACUACACAGAAAGGGACGGCUAACUACGUG